AACACUCCAGUCCCCCACUACGCCUCUCUCUCUCUCUCUCUCUGGCAACUCCAUCGCCAACAACACACUAUCAACCAUGAUCACGCCCAAUUUCAUUCGAUAUCUGGACUGCUUAUUCCACCACGCACCUCAUCUUGCAGCCCUUUCCUAUACUAUCUAGAUCCCCCUUCACCACCUCAGCCAUUUACACCACUUCCCGCAUCACUCACUCAGUCACACCUCUUCAUUCAGAUCUUUAUAUUUUUCCCUUCAUUCAUCAUAUCUGGCUACCAUUCCUUUUCACCACAUCCUAUAUACAUCAUCUAUACACACAUAAAUACGUUGCCUCCAUCCCGCCAACCCACAAGUUGUAUAUCCCCUGCCUCACAUUCAUACUCAAUCUCCAGUUGCCUAUUUCCUCCCUCCUCAUCGCGCUCACCGGACCACGUUCAACAGCGGGCAAUCUCACAAGAACACUGACAAUCAACUGGCCAGGUCACCCCGCUGAUGACCGGCCGGGGAGGGUGGAUAUCAUCAGUCUUGCGUUCAAUUAAGAGAUAUAUUCUUGCAGUUGGCUUCAGUUGGCUCCUGACACAUCUGUCAAUGGUUACCUGUUAUUCAUUGCUCUCCAAAACUCCAUGAGAAACAGUUAUCACUAAUAGCUGAUCAAGAAUGUUCAUCACAGCUGUGCCAUGAACUGAAUAAAACCAGCCAUGUAAAUGUCCAGUAAGAAGUAAACUCCAAUCCUGGACCUUAGCCUAACCUUACACUGAAUUACAAGACUACAACUUCUGAACCACAGCCCAAGUUCUGACCAGUGUUGAGUCCAGCAGAGGUAUUAGCUCUGCAAUACAACAUCCUGAUAACAUCUGAGUUAUGUUCACUAGAAGAUCUCUAAAGGCCCACAGCUGCUCCAGCUCCUGUAUGAUGAGGUUUUAUGAGAUGUGUAAUUCAGGUAC